rnacentral:rRNA from 1 species
GGAGGGUGCAAGCGUUGUUCGGAAUUAUUGGGCGUAAAGAGCGUGUAGGCGGUCCGGUAAGUCAGAUGUGAAAGCCCUGGGCUCAACCCAGGAAGUGCAUUUGAAACUACCAGACUUGAGUACGGGAGAGGAGGGGGGAAUUCCCGGUGUAGAGGUGAAAUUCGUAGAUAUCGGGAGGAAUACCAGUGGCGAAGGCGCCCUCUGGACCGAUACUGACGCUGAGACGCGAAAGCGUGGGGAGCAAACAGGAUUAGAUACCCUGGUAGUCCACGCCGUAAACGAUGAGCACUAGGUGUAGCGGGUAUCGACCCCCCUGCUGUGCCCGUAGCUAACGCAUUAAGUGCUCCGCCUGGGGACUACGGCCGCAAGACUA